rnacentral:rRNA from 1 species
UCUGGUUGAUCCUGCCAGUAAUAUAUGCUUGUCUCAAAGAUUAAUCCAUGCAUGUCUAAGUAUAAAUAGUAUACCUUAAAACUGCAAAUGGCUCAUUAAAACAGUUAUAGUUUAUUUGAUAAUCAAACGCUACAUGGAUAACCGUGGUAAUUCUAGAGCUAAUACAUGCUGAUAACCCGGCGCAAGUCGUGGUUGUAUUUAUUAGAUAUUAAACCAAUAUGUUAAUAGCAUUUUGAAGGAAUUACAGUAACUGAUCGAAUCCUCAUUUGUUGAGGAUAAAUCAUUCAAGUUUCUGCCCUAUCAGCUUUCGAUGGUAGUGUAUUGGACUACCAUGGCGAUUACGGGUAACGGAGAAUUAGUGUUCGAUUCCGGAGAGGGAGCCUGAGAAACGGCUACCACAUCUAAGGAAGGCAGCAGGAGCGUAAAUUACCCAAUGUCGACUCGAUGAGCGUAGUGACAAUACAUAACAAAGAGGGGAUUUUUUAUCUUACUCUAUUGCAAUGAGGCAUGUUUAAUAACCUGUUCGAGCAACCAGUGAAGGGCAAGUCUGGUGCCAGCAGCCGCGGUAAUUCCAGCUUCACGAGUGUAUAUUUAAGUUGUUGCAGUUAAAAAGCUCGUAGUUGAACUUCUGUUCGUUUAGUAGGCGGUCAAACGCAGACUAGAUGAACAUCCGCCUGAAAAAUCAUUAGGGCCUUCACUGGUUCAGUGAUGGAUCAGGCAUUUUACUUUGAAAAAAUUAGAGUGUUCAAAGCAGGCUAUCGCCCGAAUACAUUAGCAUGGAAUAAUAGAAUAGGACGCUGUUCAAUUUGUUGGUUAUUGAAUUGCGUAAUGAUUAAUAGGGACAGUUGGGGGCACUUGUAUUUAAUUGUCAGAGGUGAAAUUCUUGGAUUUAUUAAAGACAAACUUAUGCGAAAGCAUUUGCCAAGGGUGUUUUCAUUAAUCAAGAACGAAAGUUAGAGGAUCAAAGACGAUCAGAUACCGUCCUAGUUUUAACUAUAGACUAUGCCGACUCGGUCUCCGUCGAGUAAUUUUACCUCGAUGGGGUGCCGUAUGAGAAAUCAAAGUCUUUGGGUUCCGGGGGGAGUAUGGUCGCAAGGUUGAAACUUAAAGGAAUAGACGGAACAUCACUACCAGGUGUGGAUCCUGCGGCUUAAUUUGACCCAACACGGGGAAACUUACCAGCGCAAAACAAGGGUGGGAUUGACAGAUUGAGAGCUCUUUCUUGAUUCUUUGGAUAGUGGUGCAUGGCCGUUCUUAGUUGGUGGAGUGAUUUGUCUGCUUAAUU